rnacentral:rRNA from 1 species
UGGGGAAUUUUGGACAAUGGGGGCAACCCUGAUCCAGCAAUGCCGCGUGUGUGAAGAAGGCCUUCGGGUUGUAAAGCACUUUUGUCCGGAAAGAAAACGCCGUGGUUAAUACCCGUGGCGGAUGACGGUACCGGAAGAAUAAGCACCGGCUAACUACGUGCCAGCAGCCGCGGUAAUACGUAGGGUGCAAGCGUUAAUCGGAAUUACUGGGCGUAAAGCGUGCGCAGGCGGUCCGCUAAGACAGAUGUGAAAUCCCCGGGCUUAACCUGGGAACUGCAUUUGUGACUGGCGGGCUAGAGUAUGGCAGAGGGGGGUAGAAUUCCACGUGUAGCAGUGAAAUGCGUAGAGAUGCGGAGGAAUACCGAUGGCGAAGGCAGCCCCCUGGGCCAAUACUGACGCUCAUGCACGAAAGCCGUGGGGAGCAAACAGGAUUAGAUACCCUGGUAGUCCACGCCCUAAACGAUGUCAACUAGUUGUCGGGUCUUCAUUGACUUGGUAACGUAGCUAACGCGUGAAGUUGACCGCCUGGGGAGUACGGUCGCAAGAUUAAAAACUCAAAUGAAUU